rnacentral:lncRNA from 1 species
CCGGGAGCCGCGGGCGGCCUCGGGCUGAGGCGGCUGUCGGGGGGUUCGGCCGCCCCGCCCUGCCCCCCAGGUUGAAGACGCCUUCCAGACCUUGACAGCAGGCUAAAGGCCGCGGGAAGACCUCAAGGCCUUGUGGCUAACAUGGAGCUACGAUGGCUGCUCAGUUAAAUAAUUCUUCUGACCUGGACAAAAGAUCAUAUCUUCCCUAGUCUUUUUUUUUUUUUAAUAUAAAUUAUUGAGCCAUCUUAAGUUAAUAAUUAAAACUGCAGCAUAUAUCCUGUAUGGGAAAUACUACCCCAAAUGACUAAUAUUUGACAAGAUUACAAGCAACUGAGGGAAAGGUUUUCAGCUGCGGAGCUUUUGAACCACAAUGGGUUGGCUGCACAAUGCCUGAGAAAGAGGCCUCUUGACACUCCCCAAAAACACGGUGUGGGGUGUCCUUGCCUCCUCCAAGCCCAAGCUAGCACUGCAGCCCUACCCCAUAGCAGCCUCUAGUGAUUUUGAAGAGAACUAACAAGAUCCCAGCAAGCAGCCAUGGACCAUUAAAAAACAACUUGGAUUUUCCACCCCAGCUAGAAGGCGCCUUGGUGGAGCCACGUUUCUCCUAGCAACUCGUACCAGACCACGAAUCUUGCCAGAGUUUUCAAUGGUUUCCAACUCUCAAAAUUUGCUUUGACUGUUGGAUUCCGAUUGUCACAAAGUAUCAGCAAGCAAGAAGUAACUGUAAAACAGUAAAAACAGUCUUGAAGACAGAACUGAGUCUUCCUGGUCACUUGGAAACUGCACAGUAUACAUAGUAUACUGGGUCUGAGAUCCUGAGCCACACCGAAUCUGUGGAAGUAGUCCUGGUAAUCCUUGGAGAAUACUGUUUCCUCUCCUUUCGUAUCG